UAUCCUAUUCCUACGCUCACUCAUGUUUUGGAAACGUUCGAUCAUCACAAACCGGCAUAGAUAAUAUUUUGUGGAUGUUCAGGUGGAAGCAAGUUGUAGAAAUACCGAAUGUAAAGAGCUAAGACCAGAGACGAGGCAACUGAGUGUAGUCGGUGCGGUUAGAGUUGCGAUUAGGAGGUCGUUGGUGGUGGCAUGCUAAUAUACGCCCGAAAGAAUGCGUCUGAGAAAGUUAGUCUAGAAGAGUAUGAAGUGAUUUGGACCUACAUCUUUUCUAUAUGUAUAAUCAAUGUAUGUGAACAAAGUCUUUCAGUUUUGUUAGCAAGAGUUUGUGUUCUCAAGAGAACGUGAAUUUGGGUAUUUGAAAUUGGUCAUUACUUGAAUGC